AAGCCUAACACAUGCAAGUCGAACGGUAACUUUUGUUGCUUGCACCGAAAGACGAGUGGCGAACGGGUGCGUAACGCGUAUGCAAUCUACCUUUUACUAGAGUAUAGCCCAGAGAAAUUUGGAUUAAUCCUCUAUAACAUCAUUAAUUCGCAUGAAUUUAUGAUUAAAGCUUCGGCGGUUAAAGAUGAGCAUGCGUCCUAUUAGUUAGUAGGUGAGGUAACGGCUCACCUAGACUACGAUAGGUAGGGGUCCUGAGAGGGAGAUCCCCCACACUGGUACUGAGACACGGACCAGACUCCUACGGGAGGCAGCAGUGAGGAAUAUUGGACAAUGGACGAAAGUCUGAUCCAGCUAUGCCGCGUGCAGGAUGACAGCCCUACGGGUUGUAAACUGCUUUUAUACAGGAAGAAAACCUUCGACGUGUCGAGGCUUGACGGUACUGUAAGAAUAAGGAUCGG
rnacentral:rRNA from 1 species